CAGUAGAUGGCACAAUGAGGCCACAAAUCCCCAUAGAAAGAUGAGAGAAUAUGGAGGGAACUCUGUGUUUUUUU
ensembl:miRNA Gm27722 predicted gene, 27722